AUUGAACGCUGGCGGCAGGCCUAACACAUGCAAGUCGAGCGGAUGACGGGAGCUUGCUCCUUGAUUCAGCGGCGGACGGGUGAGUAAUGCCUAGGAAUCUGCCUGGUAGUGGGGGACAACGUUCCGAAAGGAGCGCUAAUACCGCAUACGUCCUACGGGAGAAAGUGGGGGAUCUUCGGACCUCACGCUAUCAGAUGAGCCUAGGUCGGAUUAGCUAGUUGGUGAGGUAAAGGCUCACCAGGGCGACGAUCCGUAACUGGUCUGAGAGGAUGAUCAGUCACACUGGAACUGAGACACGGUCCAGACUCCUACGGGAGGCAGCAGUGGGGAAUAUUGGACAAUGGGCGAAAGCCUGAUCCAGCCAUGCCGCGUGUGUGAAGAAGGUCUUCGGAUUGUAAAGCACUUUAAGUUGGGAGGAAGGGCAGUAAGUUAAUACCUUGCUGUUUUGACGUUACCGACAGAAUAAGCACCGGCUAACUCU
rnacentral:rRNA from 1 species